CUGGCACAACAUAUAGCUCUCUCUAAUUGAAAUCCUUUGACGGCCGAUGGCGAGCGAUUGAUUGGAGAUAAAAUAACAGCGACGAUGAGCAGAUCGAUUGAGAUAAAUGUUCGACGACAUCUUUAACUUGACUAUGCGUUGUUUUAAAAUGGAUUUCAUUUUUGUUUGGGUGGAUUUCUUCUUCUUCUUUUUUUUUUUUUUUUUUUUUGGGUCGAAAUUUUCGAAGUUUUAUACCUAGCUUUUCUCUGGACAUGAAUUUGGUAGAUUUAUACUGAAUACACGGUGUCUUUUGGAAGCCAUAUUAGAAAAUUUUGCUGCCUAAUUUAGGGAGGAAUAUAUCAUAUUUGGAGUUUUCUACGUUAUUUCUAGUUUGUUGAGACAAUGAGUUUGUUUAUCUUUUGGAUAGUGCUUAGAAUGUGAGUGAAUACGUGAACAUUCAAUUUUCUAUAUUUUUGAAGAACGGAAUUUGAGUGAGUACAUGAACAUUCAAUUUUUGAACUGAUAGGCAUAUCAGUUGAUAUUUCUGUUAUGAAUUUCAACAUAUAGUUGAAGUUACAAUUUGUUCAUAGUUCAUACCUUGAAUAAGAAAUUUCUCCUUUUUUCAUCCCACACUUAUAUUAUAUUGAUGUUGAACAACAUUACAACAUAUUAUGUAUCUUGAAUUGUACGUUGAAGUUAUCGUUCUUGCAGUUACAUUACUAAAUGGCUGGAAAGAACAUGGGUAUUUAUGAUGAUGCGUUAUCAUGGGUUGCGUUAUGAUGAUGUAAGGGAAGGAUUCCAUCACCAAAUUACUGAUUUUAUCGAUCAAAUGAAGGCUGAUCCAUUGAAUGCUGGGCACAGAUCAUUCCCAGUGCUCGUGUGCAUUCAAGUUUACCCAAUACAAGAAGAGGAUAAACUAUUGAUGCUGCCAAGGACAUGGCCAUUGUAGUGGAAACGUUUGGGGCGGGGGAUAAAAUAUGAACAGAAUCUUCUCGUUCAGACUACAACUACAUCUGUGUCUACUGCUACAUCCGUGUCUGCAACACCAGAAUAUAUGGAGAAGGUUAAAAUAAAGGUUGAUGAUCCAGAACAAAGAGUGUUGUAUUUGUUUGAACAAGCCUUGUGUUGGAGAAGAAAUAUCGAUUCUGCCAUGUCCACAUGCUUAUCAUUACAAAUGUAUAUCUGUCGGGCUAGUGAAGAGCAAGCUAUGUCCAUUGUGUCGCAAACCUGUGCACUGGAAUUAAUCCCCUGUGAGUAUUUAUGCUAAGUCCUGGAAGAAGUGCAAUUUGAAGGAAAGUGUAUUGGCGUUUGCGAUGGAAGUCAAUCAAGCUAUAUUGGAAAGUGUUGUCGAAUGAAAAAUUGAAGAAGAUGAGGAGAUUUCAUUCAACAUAUCUAUCCAAAAGGAAAAAGGAAAAUCGAAAGGUAACAGCAAGGGAAAGCAUAGGGAAUAGCAAUGAUGUCUAUGUUUGUGAAAAUUUGUUAUUGGAAGAUGUUAUGUUUAACUUUUCGAAAUGUAGUCAACUAUAAAUUCAUGUCCAUUUGAACAACUAACUGUUAUUGGAUAUCUUUUCUGUAUCUCAUUCCUUGAAUAUCGCGGGA
rnacentral:lncRNA from 1 species